rnacentral:rRNA from 1 species
UACGGAGGGAGCAAGCGUUACUCGGAAUUAUUGGGCGUAAAGGGCGCGUAGGCGGUUUGAAAAGUCUUGUGUGAAAGCCCCGAGCUUAACUCGGGAAGUGCACAAGAAACUGUUGAAUUUGAGUUCCGGAGAGGAAGGCAGAAUUCCCGGUGUAGCGGUGAAAUGCGUAGAUAUCGGGAGGAAUACCAGUGGCGAAGGCGGCCUUCUGGACGGAUACUGACGCUGAGGCGCGAAAGCCAGGGGAGCAAACAGG